GAUGAACGCUGGCGGCGUGCUUAACACAUGCAAGUCGAACGAAGCACUUAAGAUUGAUUCUUCGGAUGACGUCUUUUGUGACUUAGUGGCGGACGGGUGAGUAACGCGUGGGUAACCUGCCUCACACAGGGGGAUAACAGUUAGAAAUGACUGCUAAUACCGCAUAACCCGAUAGGAUCGCAUGAUCCAGACGGAAAAGAUUUAUCGGUGUGAGAUGGACCCGCGUCUGAUUAGCUAGUUGGUGAGGUAACGGCCCACCAAGGCGACGAUCAGUAGCCGGCCUGAGAGGGUGAACGGCCACAUUGGGACUGAGACACGGCCCAAACUCCUACGGGAGGCAGCAGUGGGGAAUAUUGCACAAUGGGGGAAACCCUGAUGCAACGACGCCGCGUGAGUGAAGAAGUAUUUCGGUAUGUAAAGCUCUAUCAGCAGGGAAGAAAAUGACGGUACCUGACUAAGAAGCCCCGGCUAACUACGUG
rnacentral:rRNA from 1 species